GAUCGCCGCCGGGAGUCGUUUCCUAUGCUACGCCGACGGCGUUGGCCGCUCGUUCUGGCCCGACAGUGUUGCCCAUCUCGCAAGAGACGGUGUCUUGUUGUCGGUCGUUGGUUCGUGGUGGCUAGCGUUUAGUUACGCUAGUGUGUGUGACGUCGGUGUGAAAGUCGACGACGUUUCCGACCCGUCUUGAAACACGGAUUACGGAGUGUUUGUCUGCUGCGAGUCAAAGGGUGUAAAAACCUUGCGGCGCAAUGAAAGUGAAGGUUAGUCUCGAACUGACCGACGUGGGAUCCGUGCUCUUCGGAGUGCGGCGCACCACGGCCCUAUGCGUGUCACUUGUGACUGUGUAGAGGUUGAGCAGUAGGCAAGCGACCCGAAAGAUGGUGAACUAUGCCUGAGCAGGAUGAAGCCAGAGGAAACUCUGGUGGAAGUCCGUAUCGGUUCUGACGUGCAAAUCGAUCGAUAGACUUGGGUAUAGGGGCGAAAGACUAAUCGAACCAUCUAGUAGCUGGUUCCUUCCGAAGUUUCCCUCAGGAUAGCUGGAACUCUUGCAGUUAUAUUCGGUAAAGCUAAUGAUUAGAGGCCUUGGGGACGUAAUGUCCUCAACCUAUUCUCAAACUUUCAAUGGAUAUGGCGUCGCAGUUUCUUUAGUGAACUGCGGCGUGAAUGCGAGUUCCAAGUGGGCCAUUUUUGGUAAGCAGAACUGGCGCUGUGGGAUGAACCAAACGUGGAGUUAAGGUGCCUAACUUCUCGCUUAUGAGACCCCAUAAAAGGUGUUGGUUGAUAUUGACAGCAGGACGGUGGCCAUGGAAGUCGGUACCCGCUAAGGAGUGUGUAACAACUCACCUGCCGAAUCAACUAGCCCUGAAAAUGGAUGGCGCUUAAGCGAGAGACCUAUACUCCGCCGUCGCGGCAUGUGCGUUGUCUAGCGCCAGGUCGCGACGAGUAGGAAGGACGUGGCGGUUGCGUUGAAGGCUAUGAGCGUAGGCUCGGCUGGAGCUUCCGUCAGUGCAGAUCGUAAUGGUAGUAGCAAAUAUUCAAGUUCGAUCCUUGAAGACUGAAGUGGAGAAGGGUUCCACGUGAACAGUAGUUGGAUGUGGGUCAGUCGAUCCUAAGGUACUGGCGAAAGCCUUGUAUCAUCGGUGGCGAAAAGCUUGCUUUUUGUCCCCGCCCGUCGAAAGGGAAUAGGGUUAAUAUUCCCUAACUGAGAUGCAAAGAUUGUGUUCUU
rnacentral:ncRNA from 1 species